AGCGUAGGCGGACAUUUAAGUCAGGGGUGAAAUCCCGGGGCUCAACCUCGGAAUUGCCUUUGAUACUGGGUGUCUUGAGUAUGAGAGAGGUGUGUGGAACUCCGAGUGUAGAGGUGAAAUUCGUAGAUAUUCGGAAGAACACCAGUGGCGAAGGCGGCUCACUGGACAGGUAUUGACGCUGAGGUGCGAAAGCGUGGGGAGCAAACA
rnacentral:rRNA from 1 species